UACAGAGGUCUCAAGCGUUGUUCGGAUUCAUUGGGCGUAAAGGGGUGCGUAGGUGGCGCUGUAAGUCGGGUGUGAAAUUUCGGAGCUUAACUCCGAAACUGCAUUUGAUACUGCGGUGCUUGAGGACUGGAGAGGAGACUGGAAUUUACGGUGUAGCAGUGAAAUGCGUAGAGAUCAUAAGGAAGACCAGUGGCGAAGGCGGGGUCUCUGGACAGUUCCUGACACUGAGGCACGAAGGCCAGGGGAGCAAACGGG
rnacentral:rRNA from 1 species